GUGGCAGCCAGUCUCCCCCUCACCCUGGGUCUCCCUCCCACUCCUCUCUCAGGGCCCCAAGGACUCUGCCCCUGAAGACAUCCUGUGCUGAACUGCAGGCAAGGGAGCCUCUGAUGGUACUUGUCCAAGUGCCUUUGAAACAGUGUCCACCACGAAGCCCAUGACUUUCUGUUGGAGUGAAAUGGAGAAAGUUUUCUUUGCCUUCUGGAGAAAGGUUUUGGAAGAAAUUCUACUCCUUGGGUGUUCCUGGAUGCAAGGACAAGGGACCCCUGUGGUGUCAAUUCUCUACCGUGCCUUCUGGAGCAGUGGGGACACUGGCAGGACCCUUCCGCACUCCGUGCGUGACAGGAAAUCAGCAUGGAAACAGUAUUACAAUCCAAUCCACAGACCUGCUUCCAAUUCUGCCCGUUCUCCCACUAACACCUGUACAGCAGAAAACACAAGGAAGGAACCCACCUCUCAGGUAGGAGAGACCUUGCAGGCUCAAGCAGCAGGGGCAUGGAGGUGGGAGAGAAAGACGGGAGAGAGAGAGAUUUCCUUCUCCCUCUUCCCUCAGUGACUCAGGACCAAGUCCAGGAGGAAGUCCAGCCUUGAGGUGCCUGGUCUCUGGAGCUGGAGUUUUUGACUCCUGACACUGACCUUUCCCAACAACUUCCAGUUGAGAUUUUGUUGAAGAUGGCUCGUUUUGCCUUUGCUCCUAGUUCCUCAAGAAUGGAUGUCCUUGGUGUAUUUUGGGCAGGAUCGCCCCAGACAUGAUGCCAUGUUCUCUGUGUGACAUCAAGAGAGACGUGACAUGUGCCGCUUUCCUUCUCGUCCGACUGUGGCAGUACCUGCCAGGUCUGAACACCACACGUGCAGUUCCCCAGUAUU